rnacentral:lncRNA from 1 species
AUGCUUUACUUGCGAGUUGUUAAAGGCGCUGUAAAUUUUAUUGUAAUGUUUCUUGGCUUCGGAGUAGAUGCAGGAGGAGACCGGUUGAUUCUCGUGGUCUUUUUCCUCUCAAAACAACCUAGUCCAGGAACAUCCAGUGUGUCAGAUCAAAUCCAAGCAACAAAGAAACCCCUGUGUCACGCCUUCUCUAACUCUCCUCUUUGGGGACGCUCUGGGACCGAACGGGGUCUUCAGGGAACGAACGCUCCCAGGGCAAGGCGGAGGCAGCCCGCGUCUUCGCGCCAGUGGAGUGAUGCCUCAGUCGGGUUGUAUUUGAAGAACCGCUGGGGCUACUGUGACAACGAAGGGCAAAGAAAAGAGAACAGAAGCAAAGAAAACCAUCUCAAAAGUCUUGCAUUUGCUGCUGUUAAAAGGCUGCUGUUCAUUUCUGAUUUCCUCAUCUUUUGCUACAAAGGAAAAAGAUAUUGAAUGAUGUGUCUCCAUUUGAUGAGAAGAAAACACUAACAACAGUGAAGGUUCGAAUGUCAUUGUGAGGAGAGGGCAGGAGUGAAUUAGGGCCCCGGGGACCGCGGACGCGGGGCGAGGAGACGGCCUGAAAUACGAGCCCAACCUGUUGUGUGAGAUGCACUUGGGUUUGGGGGUCGAGGUCGGAGGCUUCAAAGCCCUUGGACCGCACGUGUGAAAACCUCUCUGUCUCUACUCUCUCUUUCUGCCCUCCUCCCUCUCCUCUCUCCUCCUUUGGUCCCUCCCUCCACCUCUCUCCAUUUCUCCUUCUUUUCUCUCUAGCUCUCUCUUCCCCUUUCUCCUCACCUCUCCUAGAGUUAAUCUGAAUUUCCUUUGCCCCUCCUCUAUUUUGGGUGUCUUUGUGUAUUUCACAGAUCCAUUAAGUCCAAAGUAUAAGUUCACGCUCACACAGAAGUAGACUCUUGGGCUGUGUCAACCCAUUCACCUUUUGAAAUCCAAUAGAAUUGGAAUGUUUAAGAUAUUGGUGAUGCCGUGUACACACACGUAGGCAAUGUAUCAGGAGGAUUAUUUCUAUCCAAACACAGAGCUAAUCCAGGUCUCUAUCCAAAAGUAGCCCCAUCUUAGCUCUAACACAAAUUGUCACUUGUGGCAGUUUUUUUUAUUUGGAAUUAUCCAAACUGUUCUUGGAUCUCCACUUCCCUUUGCCUGGUAAACACAAACCCAGGCAAACGUUGCUUUAAAACAUAAAAAUAAUCAACCCGAUCUAUAAUUUUCAUUCUUAGAGAAAACAAGCCAAAUUGGUGCGAGGAAAGCCUUGCGUUCUGGCCUAGAUGAAGGGUUUGAAGGCAGGUGGGCCCGCAGGCCAGAGGGGUGAGCACCGGGCACCCGGCCCAGCUCUCCUGUCUGUCCACCUCUACGAGCCGCCCCUCCAGCCCCUCUUUGCCCGACAGCCUCUCUCUCUGAGUCCUGGGGAACAAAGAAAGUUCUUGGGACCAAGCACAAAAAGGGUUAAAUGAAGCCUGAGUUACAGGUGUCUGCUCCGGGUCCAGCCAGGUUAGGCGAGUGUAGCUGGCUUUGGUGUGUCUUUGACUUGAGUUUCACAGAACGAUUUGGUCUACAGUUCCUUAGCCUUGUGCAUUCUGUCUCUCUCUGUCUUUGUGUUCUGUCUCUCUCUUUCUCCACCCUCCCUUCCUCCCCUCUUCUUCUCACUCUCCUUCCUUCUCUUUGUUAGGCUCCGACCUAGGCACCCUGCAUGAAAACGUUGGCAAAGCUCUGUAAUUACUGCCUUCUCUUCUCUGACCCAAACCUACCCUUUUUCUCCGCACCUCUGCAGCCACGCCUCAAAAAAAAAAAAGGAAGAACAUCAAAACAAAAACUCAUUUGCAAAAUUCCUCAGGUCCCCUUGGCUGAGGAAGGGCACAAUUGGUGCCCGGGCGCAAGAACUUGGGGUGCGGUGGGGAGCGAGGCCCCUUGCUGCUUGGGGUGGUGCCGAGGACACCCACCUGCUGGGUGGGGGGUGGGUAAGGGGUGCGCUUUUCACCUUCCUCUUGCCCCUUGCUCUUCCCGGGCUUCUGGGAAAGGAAUUAGGAAGAGAUCCAGUCCUCAUGUCCCAACCACUCCCAGGACUUGGAGAAAUAGAGCAGGGCGGGCACCUCCCAGCUGCCGCGGUGUGACUGCCUGGGGUUGACAGGCGAGACAGUCUGCGACCAGAAGAGCCGCGACCCAUCUAAAGCCCUCCACCUCCAGUGCCCUUUACAGAUAGACAAGGUCGCUAGGCAGUGCUCAGGCCCGGCCGCUGGAGCAUCAGUCCACUCCAGCAGCCUCUGCUGGGACGAGGUGGUGAGCGCCGCUAUGGGACUUCAGGUGGCACCGGGGAUGGAAGGCCUGCCUUUGGCUCCAGGCUCUGAUUUGGAACCAGAGAAGGGGGGACUGUCAGUGCCUCUCUCUCUUUCUCUCCAUUUGUCUCUCUCUCUCUCUCUCUCCCUCUCUCUCGUGGAUGAAGUCCCUCUGUCAUCUCCCUGUUAUCCCUUCAAGGGCUCCCCUCCAGGAACACUGCUGUGUGGUGUGUUUUUGGUGACCUAGGUCAGCAACAGCAAAGACCCAGAAAGCCUCCGCAAGCUUUAGGUGGGUCCAAUUCUGCUUUGAGAAGUCAGUGGGAGAGGAGAGGGAAGAGAUUCUAUUUCCCAAUAGUGAGUUUUCCAAGAUCCCCUUCAGCCGAGCUGAGUUGAGAAGGGCUUAGUAGAGAGUAAGCAAAAGCUAAUUACCCGCCACCCCCACCGCAUCCUCCUCAGGAAGAAAUCUGGGCAGAGAAAGAAUCACAACUCCAGAACCAGCUGAGAACUCCUUGCAAAGAUGUCCUGAAAUCCCAGCCUGUGCCGCUGGCCCAGAGUCUGCGGGCUCUCUGAGGCCAUCUUACCCCAGAAGCAGCUGGCUGGAUUAGGUCUGGGGGAACAUAAAGGGGCCCAGUCAGUUGGGUUUGCUCCUCCCUCAUUUCCUCCUCUAUUUUAAACAUCAAUAAAGUAAAACAUUUUUUCUUGCA